AUUGAACGCUGGCGGCAGGCCUAACACAUGCAAGUCGAGCGGAGCGGCGGACGGGUGAGUAAUGCCUAGGAAUCUGCCUGGUAGUGGGGGAAAAAGUCCGGAAACGGGCGCUAAUACCGCAUACUAUCAGAUCAGCCUAGGUCGGAUUAGCUAGUUGGUGGGGUAAAGGCCUACCAAGGCGACGAUCCGGAACUGGUCUGAGAGGAUGAUCAGUCACACUGGAAAUGAGACACGUUCCAGACUCCUACGUGAGGCAGCAGUGGGGAAUAUUGGACAAUGGGCGAAAGCCUGAUCCAGCCAGUCCGCGUGUGUGAAGAAGGUCUUCGGAUUGUAAAGCACUUUAAGUUGGGAGGCGUUACCAACAGAGUAAGCACCGGCUAACUUCGUGCCAGCAGCCGCGGUAAUUA
rnacentral:rRNA from 1 species